GAGAAAAUGGCGGCGGAGCCGAACAAGACCGAAAUCCAGACUCUUUUUAAGAGGCUUCGCGCAGUUCCAACCAACAAGGCCUGUUUCGACUGCGGCGCCAAGAAUCCGAGUUGGGCCAGCAUCACGUACGGUGUUUUCUUGUGCAUUGACUGUUCCGGGGUGCACCGCUCCCUGGGCGUCCAUCUGAGCUUCAUCAGGUCCACAGAGUUGGAUUCCAACUGGAACUGGUUCCAGCUGAGGUGUAUGCAGGUCGGCGGGAAUGCCAAUGCGACGGCUUUUUUUCGCCAACAUGGAUGCACAGCCAAUGAUGCCAACACCAAAUAUAAUAGCCGAGCUGCCCAGAUGUACCGGGAGAAGAUCCGGCAGCUGGGGAGUGCGGCCCUGGCUAGGCAUGGCACUGAUCUUUGGAUAGACAACAUGAGUAGUGCCGUUCCUAAUCACUCCCCAGAGAAGAAGGACUCUGAUUUCUUCACAGAACACACUCAACCCCCUGCCUGGGAUGCGCCAGCCACUGAGCCUUCAGGGACCCAGCAGCCAGCCCCGUCUACAGAGAGCAGUGGCCUGGCACAGCCGGAGCAUGGCCCAAACACAGACCUGCUUGGCACCUCACCCAAAGCCUCACUGGAACUGAAAAGCUCCAUCAUUGGCAAGAAGAAGCCAGCAGCAGCUAAGAAAGGGCUGGGUGCCAAGAAAGGCCUAGGGGCCCAGAAGGUGAGCAGCCAGAGCUUCAGUGAGAUUGAGCGGCAGGCUCAGGUGGCAGAGAAGCUCCGUGAGCAGCAGGCAGCCGAUGCCAAGAAGCAGGCGGAGGAGUCCAUGGUCGCCUCCAUGCGUCUGGCCUACCAGGAGCUCCAGAUUGAUCGUAAGAAAGAGGAAAAGAAGCUACAGAAUCUGGAAGGGAAGAAGCGAGAGCAGGCAGAAAGGUUGGGCAUGGGCUUGGUAUCCCGAAGCUCUGUCUCCCACUCCGUGCUGUCUGAGAUGCAGGUGAUUGAGCAGGAAACCCCAGUGAGUGCAAAAUCCUCUCGCUCGCAGCUGGACUUGUUUGACGAUGUUGGUACUUUCGCCUCUGGACCCCCAAAGUAAGGCUGUUUUCUAGCUGUAAACUUGGCUGCUGUGUUCCUCAUCAGGCUUCUCUGAGCCACUCUACUGUCUCCCUAGGUACAAGGACAAUCCCUUUUCCUUAGGGGAAAGCUUUGGCUCCCGCUGGGAUACAGAUGCUGCCUGGGAGCCACAAACCGGAGGGAAGUGGAGAGCCGGAGCUCAGGCCUCGAGUCUAGUGAGGCGCGUCAGAAAUUCGCAGGAGCCAAAGCCAUCUCAUCUGACAUGUUCUUUGGGCGGGAGGUGGAUGCGGAGUAUGAGGCCAGGUCUCGGCUGCAGCAGCUCUCAGGCAGCAGUGCCAUCAGCUCUUCAGACCUCUUUGGGGACAUGGAUGGAGCUCAGGGAGCAGGAAGUGUAUCUCUGGGGAACGUGCUGCCUACAGCGGACAUUGCCCAGUUUAAGCAGGGUGUCAAGUCUGUGGCUGGGAAAAUGGCUGUGCUGGCCAAUGGUGUGAUGAAUUCCUUGCAGGAUCGCUACGGUUCCUACUGAUCCGAGCUCUGUGACUCAGGCUUACGAUGGUGACGGCAACAAGAACUCCACAGUUCCCAGGCUGGGGAUGCUUUGCCUUGUGGAAGCUGGGGAGGAUUUGUUACUUUGUAUGUGUGGUGUGUGUGUGGGGUGGCCUUUGAGGCGCUCACUCCUGUGAGGGGAAUGGUCAGUACCAGCCCUUGUCCUCUGCCUGUGGACUGAGCUCUUUAUUCCCUCUCACACCACCCUCCGUGUGUUAGACUCUUGUCCUUCUGUCCUGCCCCCACA
rnacentral:sRNA from 1 species